rnacentral:rRNA from 1 species
CCUACGGGUGGCAGCAGUGAGGAAUAUUGGUCAAUGGACGAGAGUCUGAACCAGCCAAGUAGCGUGAAGGAUGACUGCCCUAUGGGUUGUAAACUUCUUUUAUAUGGGAAUAAAAUGUUCCACGUGUGGGAUUUUGUAUGUACCAUAUGAAUAAGGAUCGGCUAACUCCGUGCCAGCAGCCGCGGUAAUACGGAGGAUCCGAGCGUUAUCCGGAUUUAUUGGGUUUAAAGGGAGCGUAGGUGGAUUGUUAAGUCAGUUGUGAAAGUUUGCGGCUCAACCGUAAAAUUGCAGUUGAAACUGGCAGUCUUGAGUACAGUAGAGGUGUGCGGAAUGCGUGGUGUAGCGGUGAAAUGCUUAGAUAUCACGAAGAACUCCGAUUGCGAAGGCAGUUCACUGGACUGCAACUGACACUGAGGCUCGAAAGUGUGGGUAUCAAACAGGAUUAGAUACCCUAGUAGUC